AAUUGGAAACUCUAUAAAUUUAUAAUUUUUUAGUAUUUUUUGUUGUCUUAUAGAAAAUACUGUUAAUAUUAAUAUUUAUAAACGAAUAUAUAGAUUUUUUUUAGAAUAUUGAAAAACAAUGAUUAAUAAUUAAAUGAAUGUUUAUUUAAUGGAUAAAAACCUAUCGACGAUUUGUUCGACGUUGUUGUCAUGCUUCAUUAUAUUUUGCAUCUUAUAUAUUACAAAGUACAAUUUAUAAGAUAAAAUUUCAUUAAUGUCUAUAAUCAUGUUCCACGUGUGCAAGGCUAACUGUAACUUUUUUCUUGGAGACCUACCUAACUGAAAAACGAAAAAAUUAUAGUAGAAAAACUAACGUUAAAUAUUGAAUAUUAUCUACCCGCCGCAUCGCGCGGGUCACUACACUAGUUAGAAACGAAAGCCGGAUCAAGGCGCUCU
rnacentral:lncRNA from 1 species